AUGUAUUUAAGCCCAUCAUUGAUCUGUUGGAAUGUGCGAGGGUUGAAUAACCCGGCGAAGAGGAAGGCGGUGAAAGAAUUCUUGGCGAUGGUGAAGACGAGCUUAGUUUGCUUACAGGAGACAAAACUCGAUGUAAUUGAUCCUUUUACCUUAAUGCAAAGCCUCGGUCAGGCUUUUGCCGGUUACUCAUACUUGCCGGCAGUAGAGACGAGGGGUGGAGUCCUCCUCGCCUGGGACUCCACCAUUGUUGAUGUUGAUAGCAUCCAGUUGGAUGAUAAUUUUCUUACAGCAAAGGUCUGGCCAAAGAGGGGAGGGGCCUGGUGGAUAUCUGUGGUAUACGGGCCACAAGGAGACGAGGACAAAACUAAAUUCUUGGCGGACUUGGGUGCCAGGAGAACAAAUUGCCCCGGACCUUGGAUCGUCCUGGGAGAUUUCAACAUGAUCCUUAGGGCCUCAGAGAAGAGCAAUGCGAACCUUAACAGGCCCAUGAUGAACAAGUUCCGGCGAUUUGUUGAUGACAACGAGCUCAAAGAGCUUUACAUGCACGGACGGAUAUUUAUGUGGUCUAAUGAAAGAGAUAACCCAACCAUGACCAAAAUUGACUGCGUUCUAGUUUCGGUGGACUGGGACUUGGAGUACCCGGACUGCCUGCUUGAAGCUCUUUCCACGAGUGUUUCGGAUCACGCGCCUCCUCUCCUGAGCACUAGCGCCCCCUUGCUCUGA
rnacentral:rRNA from 1 species